rnacentral:rRNA from 1 species
GAUGAACGCUGGCGGCGUGCCUAAUACAUGCAAGUCGAGCGAACAGACGAGGAGCUUGCUCCUCUGAUGUUAGCGGCGGACGGGUGAGUAACACGUGGAUAACCUACCUAUAAGACUGGGAUAACUUCGGGAAACCGGAGCUAAUACCGGAUAACAUGUUGAACCGCAUGGUUCAACAGUGAAAGACGGUCUUGCUGUCACUUAUAGAUGGAUCCGCGCCGCAUUAGCUAGUUGGUAAGGUAACGGCUUACCAAGGCAACGAUGCGUAGCCGACCUGAGAGGGUGAUCGGCCACACUGGAACUGAGACACGGUCCAGACUCCUACGGGAGGCAGCAGUAGGGAAUCUUCCGCAAUGGGCGAAAGCCUUACGGAGCAACGCCGCGUGAGUGAAGAAGGUCUUCGGAUCGUAAAACUCUGUUAUUAGGGAAGAACAAAUGUGUAAGUAACUAUGCACGUCUUGACGGUACCUAAUCAGAAAGCCACGGCUAACUACGU